GCCAUACUGUUGGUCUUUCAGAGCGAAGCAAACGUAGCUCCUUUUUGUAUACCUCUGGCUUUGACCUCUUCAUUUUCCGGCCUGAGUUUCAGUGAAUACUGGAGGUGGAAAGGCCAAAUGAGCCUGAAGCUUGUCCUACUCACAGAUCUGCCUGUCUGCAGUCACUUUGAAGAUCUCAAAGGUGGUGACAACUUCGUUAGUUAUGUGUGCCCCAGCAGAUGGAGGAGCUGAACGUUACUUAGGGAUCACUCCCCUGUUGCUGGACAUCUAUGUUAUUUUCAUUUAUUCUCACUUAUUUCUGCUGGUACUGGGGGUUAAAUCCAGGGUCUGUGCAUGACUGCCAAGUACCCUACCACUGAGAACUGCAUCCCAUCUUGUUUUACUAUUUUUAUUUUGAGACACUGUCUCCCUCAACUGUCCACACUGGCCUUGAACCCAUGACCCUACUGCUUCAAGUCUUCUAUUUCUUUUUUCUUCUUUUUGAGACAGUGUUUUGUUAUGUUGCCCAGGCUGGCCUUGAAAUAGAAAUUUCCCUACUUCGACUUUCUGAGUGGUGGGAUUACAGAUAUAAGCCGUUACAUCUGUUCAUAUUUUUUAUUGCUGCUACCGUGACCUUCAGUAUGCUUGAAGUAUCUUCCUGCAUCCAGAGUUUUACUGACAUCAGAAGUAUAAAGAAUAUAAACAUUUCCCACAAACACAAUUUUUUAUUAUAAAAUAAUACUUGGUAAUGGUGCUAUUAUCUAUUUACUUACAUCUUAGGGCCAGCAAGAUGGUUCCGUGGGUAAAGGCACUUGUUACCAAGCCAAGCCUGAUGACCAGAGUUUGAUUCCAGGACUCACAUGGUGGAAGGUGACAAGUUGUCAUCUGACCACCUCAUACACUCCUACAUACAUACAUACAUACAUACAUACAUACAUAAAAUAAAAAUUUAAAGGAUGUUCUUAUAUACAUACAUAACACACACACACAUAUAAUUGCUUUUGAAAUAAAUAACUGAGCUCAUGUGUGUAUGCGCGCGCGUGUGUGUUCCUCUGUGUGUGUGUGUGUGUGUGUGUGUGUGUGUGUGUGCUCAUGAGUGUGCAUACGUUCCCACCAUAUUUCAAGAGCAGAGAUGAGAGAUCACCUUCCUCCCUUGCCUUCUGCUUUGUAAAGACAGAACGUAGUGUUAAAGCUGCUGCGCUGUGAACUCCAGUUCCUCAGACUGGCCGACCCGGAGCUUCUGGGUGAUUCUCCCAUCUCAUCCUAGGAGUGCUGGGACUGCAGAAGCUGCCAUCACAUCUGCCUUUUUUUUUUUUUUUAAAGAAAAAGUUGGAGGUUUUUGGGGAAUGAACUCGUAUAGCUAGUGCUUUUAUGCACAGAACCAUCUCCCUGUCUCCUUGUACACAUUUUUGAGGAAGAAAAUGGACUCUAUCCUUCUAGAAUCUGCUCAUCCUGUCCCCUGGGACCCUUUGCACCAACGGCGUUCUCAGCAGGAAACGUUCUUGACUUCUCCGUGACUGGAUUCUUCUAACUUUAAAAGUUAAGAGACUUAGGAUUUCAAAUUAUUUUGCAUGGAGUUUCUUGUAAUGGUCAGCAUCUGACAUCCUCCUUGGUUUUCCUAUUUUCUGUCUCUCCCAAAGGCAUCAAUAACCUAAUCUGUUUUGUUAACCCUCAUAACUCAGCAUUGGGCACAGCAGCUACCGUGGUCAUGGUAGCAGCCCAUAUGUGGUCAUGCAUAAAGACCCUUGAAUUCCAGAUUCACGGCUGCUCAUGAGAACUUCUUCCUGGCCUGUCCUCAGUGGGGUUUGAAGCACUGGUGUCCAACAGGUCAGUCUUUCCUCUCCCUCUUACCUCCUUGCUUUGGUCAGUCAGUAGCUGACUCCCUGUGGUUAUAGGAGGAAGAAUCUGGAUUUUAAGAAUUUGACUCAAUGAAAAAUAAAUAUGAGAGGGACAGAAAACAACAUAGAUGUAAAGAACUAUUCAAGGUAUAUGAUUUGUGUAAAUUAUGCUUGGUUUUCUGUUCAAGAUUUUUUAAAGUUAAAUCUGAUUUUUCCAUCAAAGAUCAGCUGGUUUCUUCCCUUACGGUUUGUAGCUAGAAUGACUUAUAAAGUGACUUUCUUGUUUUGUUUAGGGUAAGUUUUCUUUGUGUAUUUAUUAAACAUAAAUAGCUAUGUUUAAUACUUUGCAGGUAAACAGAUUAGCUUUUGCUCAAGAAGUCAGAAAAUAAGUUCUGAAUUCUUCUAUGCCUAUUUCUAUGCUGAACCAGGUCUGUUCAAAAAUAAAUAUUAAAUGAGGUAAGGACUCAAUUUUAACUGCUUGAUAAAUGUUUAAGCAGCUUAAUCGUAUAACAUUUACUAAAAAAGGUCAAAUAUUGACUAAAGCUAAGGUAAAUAUUUCUCCAAUUAGCAGUAUAACUGGGCAGUCAUCAGUGAAUAAAACAGAUGGUAAUUACGGGGAAACGGAAGUGCACACACAAAGACAUUUAAUAGUGCUCCAACCCAAGCCUUUUUAAUGUGGGUACAUGUGUGUGUGUGCUAGUGACUGUGUACCUGUGUGCUUAUGAGUCACUUUCUGAUGACUUUCCUCAAGCGCCGUCCACAUCUUUUCUUCUGAGAUAGGAUCCCUCACUGGGCUGGAGCACACCAAGGGUUCCAGUUGGCCAGUAAGCCCCAGGGAUCCUGAGUCCCACAGGGGUCAUGGCAGGCAGGAAAACCAUCUUCCAAGAAGUGCAAAUGGAAACUCAGCUCAGUCUGACUUAAGUCAGGAGGCUCAAACUUCUGGAGAGUCAGGCAGUUGGUUGCCAGCAUAUUUAAGUAUAGUACAACUUGGAAAAAAGUUUCCUGGUGUAACACAAUACCCAGUGCACAAGGAGGCAAAAUUACAUUGAAAUUUAUCUCAAAGUAUAUGUCAUUUCUUCCAAGAAGAUGGAUUCUAGAGACAGGCUAUCUGUAUUAGUUUAGGGGCUUGGGAAGUGUUUAGCAUGGCCUUGGGCAUACAGACAGCAUAGAGGACAUUGGCUACUUGUGAUCCUAGAUGUGGGAGCUUGGGGUAGACCCUUGCUGUACAGGUAAUGUUAGGGUCAUUUAGAUCACCAGUCACCUUUGGUGCUGGUUAUAUGUGCUUGAUGUGGCUUGGCCCAACAUUUAAUGCAGAUCUCCAGGCUGUUAAUUGCCUUCAUUUCCCAGCAUUCUGGAUGGAAGAGCAGGUUUUUAUUUCAUUUCCCUUGAGAGAACGAUCCUGUGUGUUUAGUGGUUUUUCUAGAAAGCUGUGGGUGCAGGACCUUCAUGCUCCCAACAUGAGGUCUUUUAAUAAAAUUCCAGCUUUCUCUAUUUGGUAUAUUUGGGGGAGUUUAAUGUGGGACCCUUUAAAUAAAUGGCUCUAUUAAGUGUAUUACC
rnacentral:lncRNA from 1 species